GUUUAAAGUUAUGAUGGAGUUGGGGGCUAUAAUGAAGGCAACAAGAUUGUCAUAAGGAAUUGAGGUUUGAUACAUUUGGGGGUCUGUGACGAAGUUGGAGGCUGUAGUGAAAGGAUUGAGGCUGUGAUGUAGUUGGAGGCUGUAAUGGAAGGAUUGAGGCUGUGAUGUAGUUGGAGGCUGUAAUGAAAGGAGUGAGGCUGUGAUGGAGUUGGAGGCUGUAAUGAAAUGAUUGAGGCUGUGAUGUAGUUGGAGGCUGUAAUGAAAUGAUUGAGGCUGUGAUGUAGUUGGAGGCUGUAAUGAAAGGAUUGAGGCUGUGAUGUAGUUGGAGGCUGUAAUGAAAGGAUUGAGGCUGUGAUGUAGUUGGAGGCUGUAAUGAAAGGAGUGAGGCUGUGAUGUAGUUGGAGGCUGUAAUGAAAUGAUUGA